UAAAUACAAACUAGAAUACACUAUAUUUCUUUGACUAAAUUGCUUAGGCUGGCACCAGGAUCCAUUUGAAUUCCUUUGGAGCAAGCACAUAGUUUGGGAAUAGGGAUCAUUAGGGAGCAGAGAAAAUCCAGUUGUAAUUUCAAAAUCUUCUGCUAAGCUUGUUCCUGAGGGUGAAUUUAGCUUGUUUGUAGGAUAAAACUGCAGCAACAAUAAGCAGUUAUUCCAUGUUCAAUUUUACAGUAACCAUGGGGAUUAUUGUGGAGAUUGCUCCUGUGAAUGAUUUUAGUCCUGUAUUUGAGUCUGCACACUACUCGUUCUCUGUUCCAGAAACAUCAGGAGAAUAACCAAGGGAGACAUCCAGGCUGUACAAAGAUUUUGGAUUUGCCUUCUCUCUGGGAUGAUUGACUCACCACACAGCCUGACUAUGAGUCUGGGAAGCAGUAUAACCUCACCGUGGAAGCCGUGGACUAUGACAGAUUUCAGCCUCAUACAGGGAUGACUGUGGUGAGGAAACUGAAGCACAGAGUCUACGAAGCAGGAGUAGAAGUGGGAUUCAAACUCGCGCUGCCUCUCAUCAAGAGUUGAUGUUUACAACAAAGGCAUCUAACCAAGAUGCUUGUUUCUGAUUUUGUGCAUAAAUAGUCACAUGACAUUGGUGAGCGUCUUUCCCUCCCUGGUCGCUGACACGUCACGGUUGACAUCGAAGCUGAGAAGGAUGAAGCACCUAUCUCCACACCCCGUCUACACAAGGUGGUCAUUUCUGACGGUGUUGCUGCUGGGACAAACAAACGUCAACGGCUUCAAACCGAGCUGCUGCAACAGAGGCUCACAGGAUUUUGAAAUGCGCUUUGAGAUUGUUUCUGGUGAAUGCUUUCAUUAUUCCUUUUGAUCAUGAACAUGUGUCAAAUUGACAUUAAUCACACGCUGUUUGCUGUCACCUCAGAAAUGUCUCCGUCUGUAAAGGCCAAGCCAUUUCCUAUCAAUAACAUUAGGCUUCCUUGAGGUCUGCCUCUCACUUCCACAUGUCCAACCUAAUUCCUCCUUUUGUGGAACACUCAGGGAAUCUCACAGGUGCUUUGAAAGUGAAGGAAACCCUGGUGGCAUAGUGGUUAAGAGCUAUAGCUACAAACCAAAAGGUUGGCAGUUCAAAUCCACCAGGCGCCCCUUGGAAACUCUAUGAGGCAGUUCCACUCUGUCCUAUAGGGUUGCUACGAGUCUGAGUCGAAUAGACUCGACGGCAAUGGGUUUGCUUUUUUUGGUUUCUGACAAUGGAGAGACCUUAGACCUGCAUGAGAAAUGCCAAGGGUUGAGGAUCCACGUCUGCUGCCCUGAAAGGGUCACCAACCUUCCAUCUAAUAGAAGUCCCUGGCUGGCAUAAAUGGUUAAGUACUGGACUAGACACCGAAAGGUUGGUGGUUUGUAUCCACUCACUGGCAACCCUGAAGAAAGUUCGUGUUGAUCUACUUCUGAAAAAUCAGCCACUGAAAACCCUAUGGAGCUCAGUUCUACUUGGACACAUGUGGGGUCUCCGUGGGUCAGAGCUGACUCAAUGGCAGCUGGUACCGGUUCCUUCUAAUGAUGGUGAUACAGAAUCACUAGGCCAGAUUUUUUUAUUGUAUUAUUGUUGGAUUUACCCAAAUCUGUAUCAACUUUACUCAUGAUCUGUUAACCAAGGGAAACAUUUACUAGAGACCAAAUAUGUGUUAGAUACAGUGCUAGGCAAAGGGUAUUCGGUGUGUACAAGACGGACGUGAUCUAUGUUCACAGAGCUCAUUGUAUGUUAAACCAGCAGUAACAUCAACAACUGUAAGAUUACAAACUGUGAUGAGUUACAUAAAGGAAACCUCCCGGGCAUCAUGAGAUAGUAUAACCCACCUUUAAAGGAUGGAGCUCAGGCCCACUGUCACGUGUCUGAAAGAGUAACAACAACAACGAAAAAGAGUUGCUCUUGAGUCGAUUCUGACCCAUGGUGACCCCACGUGUGCAGAGUAGAACUGUGCUCCUUAGAGUUUUCAGUUGCUGUGAUCUUUUGGAAGUAGAUUGCCAGGCCUGUCUUCUGAGGGACUUCUGGGUGAGU